rnacentral:rRNA from 1 species
CUACGGGUCGCUCCAGUGGGGAAUAUUGCACAAUGGGCGCAAGCCUGAUGCAGCCAUGCCGCGUGUAUGAAGAAGGCCUUCGGGUUGUAAAGUACUUUCAGCGGGGAGGAAGGGAGUAAAGUUAAUACCUUUGCUCAUUGACGUUACCCGCAGAAGAAGCACCGGCUAACUCCGUGCCAGCAGCCGCGGUAAUACGGAGGGUGCAAGCGUUAAUCGGAAUUACUGGGCGUAAGCGCACGCAGGCGGUUUGUUAAGUCAGAUGUGAAAUCCCCGGGCUCAACCUGGGAACUGCAUCUGAUACUGGCAAGCCUGAGUCUCGUAGAGGGGGGUAGAAUUCCAGGUGUAGCGGUGAAAUGCGUAGAGAUCUGGAGGAAUACCGGUGGCGAAGGCGGCCCCCUGGACGAAGACUGACGCUCAGGUGCGAAAGCGUGGGGAGCAAACAGGAUUAGAUACCCCCGUACUC